rnacentral:lncRNA from 1 species
CUAAAAGAAGAAAAAGAGUAUUUCAGAGCACUUAUCAUAAACUGUUAUGCUUUUUUUUCCCCCCUAAACAGAAGCAGCAGGGUAUAGACUUGCCCCUAUAUCAGGUCUGUUCUCAAGAACUUGAGACCCUUUCCCGAGUAGCAAGGCCCAUCUCUAACCCCUGAGGAUUCUGAGUUAUAGUUUGGAAGAAUGCUACGAAGAGGAAAUGCUCGAAGUGUGGGUUGAAGGAACAAGCCACUGGAGUCCAAGUAGGAUGCCCACCCUGGGAUUCCAUUCUAGCUCUAUGCUAGCUAUCCCUUCCAGGAAUUCUUAACCCAAGGAACUUAUAAAGCUGCACAAAGAGCAGAAGUUUCUUUCUUCAUACGUUGACCGAGGUGAGUCUUGUCCCUGCCUUUCUUUACAACUUCCAACGCUCCCCACCAGCCCCAAAACCCAGAACCUAUGCAUCUGAGGUGGGUAGGGAGUGACUAAUCAGGCUUGAUUAUUUCCAAGUUAGAAUAUAAGGUACCCUGGUGAGAAGGAAGUGGUCCUCCUUAGAGAUUAAUGCCCAUACACAGCCCAGACAGGCUUUCAGGAGUUUUGAAUUCCUCCCUAACAGCCCAAACUUCCCUGAGUAGCAAAACUCACCUCUAGCCCAU